AGCUGGAGUGAUGAGAAAGAAUCCUUAGGUGUGGUCGUGGCCGUCUUGGUCACCUGUGCGCCAUUUGCCAGUGCUAGGACUUGUCAUAGUUACACUGACUCGCU